GGAAAACUAUAAUAAGACUGGCUUGAACAGCAGUGUAAUCCAGUGUCAUUUUUCUCUCAUGUAGAUGCCUAGAGGGGAGGAGGAGCUGAGGAGCUGAGCUGUGUAGCCACCAGCAGCACCAUCACUGACCAACCCCCAUCCUCUGUCUCUGCCAUCUGGGCCAUGCAGAUAUGUGGAUACAUACCACAGAGGUACAGGGAUCAUAAAGGACAUUGCUCUGAGUUCCAGAAGAUAGAGUAAAAGUGAACAACAGAAAGGGGGCCUCUCUGAGUCUCCUUGAUGAAAAUUGAAGCCCACCAUAAAAGUGAAGAAAAUCACUGCAUUAAAGGCACACCGGACCACUAUAGUUGCAGAGAGAAAAUGGCAUCAUUUCAAGUUGUCCUGAUUUUUAAACAUAAGCUGCUAAAAUCAUCACAAAAGGAGAAGUCCAGGAAGAAGGAGGAUGAUCUUUGGAAUACCCUGAAUUCUGGUAAUAGCCCACAAGCUUACAGAAUGUUGUGAUUGAGGGAUUAAAAUUGUUU
rnacentral:lncRNA from 1 species